rnacentral:rRNA from 1 species
UUUGGACAAUGGUAGGAGAGCGUUCUAAGGGCGUUGAAGCAUGAUCGUAAGGACAUGUGGAGCGCUUAGAAGUGAGAAUGCCGGUGUGAGUAGCGAAAGACGGGUGAGAAUCCCGUCCACCGAUUGACUAAGGUUUCCAGAGGAAGGCUCGUCCGCUCUGGGUUAGUCGGGUCCUAAGCUGAGGCCGACAGGCGUAGGCGAUGGAUAACAGGUUGAUAUUCCUGUACCACCUAUAAUCGUUUUAAUCGAUGGGGGGACGCAGUAGGAUAGGCGAAGCGUGCGAUUGGAUUGCACGUCUAAGCAGUAAGGCUGAGUAUUAGGCAAAUCCGGUACUCGUUAAGGCUGAGCUGUGAUGGGGAGAAGACAUUGUGUCUUCGAGUCGUUGAUUUCACACUGCCGAGAAAAGCCUCUAGAUAGAAAAUAGGUGCCCGUACCGCAAACCGACACAGGUAGUCAAGAUGAGAAUUCUAAGGUGAGCGAGCGAACUCUCGUUAAGGAACUCGGCAAAAUGACCCCGUAACUUCGGGAGAAGGGGUGCUCUUUAGGGUUAACGCCCAGAAGAGCCGCAGUGAAUAGGCCCAAGCGACUGUUUAUCAAAAACACAGGUCUCUGCUAAACCGUAAGGUGAUGUAUAGGGGCUGACGCCUGCCCGGUGCUGGAAGGUUAAGAGGAGUGGUUAGCUUCUGCGAAGCUACGAAUCGAAGCCCCAGUAAACGGCGGCCGUAACUAUAACGGUCCUAAGGUAGCGAAAUUCCUUGUCGGGUAAGUUCCGACCCGCACGAAAGGCGUAACGAUUUGGGCACUGUCUCAACGAGAGACUCGGUGAAAUCAUAGUACCUGUGAAGAUGCAGGUUACCCGCGACAGGACGGAAAGACCCCGUGGAGCUUUACUGUAGCCUGAUAUUGAAAUUCGGCACAGCUUGUACAGGAUAGGUAGGAGCCUUUGAAACGUGAGCGCUAGCUUACGUGGAGGCGCUGGUGGGAUACUACCCUAGCUGUGUUGG